rnacentral:rRNA from 1 species
AAAUGAAUUGACGGGCACCCGCACAAGCGGUGGAGCAUGCUGUUUAAUUCGAAGAUACGCGAAGAACCUUACCUAGACUUGACAUCCCGGGCAAAGCUAUAGAAAUAUAGUGGAGGUUACCCCGGUGACAGGUGGUGCAUGGUUGUCGUCAGCUCGUGUCGUGAGAUGUUCGGUUAAGUCCGAUAACGAGCGCAACCCUCAUUAUUAGUUGCUAACAUUCAGUUGAGAACUCUAAUAAUACUGCCGGUGAUAAACCGGAGGAAGGUGGGGAUGACGUCAAAUCAUCAUGCCCCUUACGUCUAGGGCUACAGGCGUGCUACAAUGGCCAGUACAAUGAGAUGCAAUAUCGUGAGAUGGAGCUAAUCUCCAAAACUGGUCCCAGUUCGGAUUGGAGUCUGCAACUCGACUCCAUGAAGUUGGAAUCGCUAGUAAUCCUGAAUCAGAAUGUCAGGGUGAAUACGUUCCCGGGUGUUGUACACACCGCCCGU